CCUAUGGGGGGCAGCAGUGGGGGAUAUUGGACAAUGGGGGGAACCCUGAUCCAGCGACGCCGCGUGAGUGAAGAAGUAUUUCGGUAUGUAAAGCUCUGUCAGCAGGGAAGAAAGCAAUGACGGUACCUGACUAAGAAGCCCCGGCUAACUACGUGCCAGCAGCCGCGGUAAUACGUAGGGGGCAAGCGUUAUCCGGAAUUACUGGGUGUAAAGGGCGCGUAGACGGCUGUGCAAGUCUGGAGUGAAAGGCGGGGGCCCAACCCCCGGACUGCUCUGGAAACUGUAUGGCUGGAGUGCAGGAGAGGUAAGCGGAAUUCCUAGUGUAGCGGUGAAAUGCGUAGAUAUUAGGAGGAACACCAGUGGCGAAGGCGGCUUACUGGACUGUAACUGACGUUGAGGCUCGAAAGCGUGGGGAGCAAACAGGAUUAGAUACCCCAGUAGUC
rnacentral:rRNA from 1 species